AUGGCUCAAGAAGCUUCUUCAAUCUUGCCUCAGUUCGGAAGUGGUCAAGCAAAAUGUGGCCGAAAGUUGCAGGCAAGCCGAGGCUGUGGACGUUGGCGUUCUAUUCAGCCAAAUUCGUCGCGACAGUUCUUCAGGGGGGACUCCCCGGCCUCUGCAUCAGAACAAUGCAUACGGCCACACUGUCAUGAUGAACUAACUUCAGUAUUAUCUUCAUCGGAUCUUCCUUUGAAGUGGAUGGGACAAAACAAAAACCUAGCUGCAAACAUGUUUGAAAUGGCUCCUGAAAGUGCUCCCUCCGUCAUCUCCAUCUAUGAAAUUGAUUAUUUUUGUGGACAAUAUGGAGAAGGCAAUGAAAGUGAGUAG
rnacentral:rRNA from 1 species